GGGAUAAGAUGAAAUCAAAGGACAGUACUUUCGUGUCAGCUCAUUUCCCUGUUAACUCUGGAUCUCUGUCUUCUGCAGAUGGUGCUUAAAGAGAAGUUUGCUCCAUUGAUCCUGUCAAAUAUCUCCUUGAAAGUUCUGAAUGGAAAACAUCCUGCUUAUCUCUAAUCAAAGCUGGGUUUUCUCUGCCUCUGGGCCAAAACACUGCAACAGGCUUGGCUGUUGCGGGAGUGGUGGAUGCUGAGCUGACAUGGGGUUGCCUGCUGCCUUUCCAGGCAUGGGGAGAACCUGAAAACCAGCCUCUUCCCACUGUGCCACUGGCUGCAAGCCCUGGACACCGAUCUGAGGGGUGUCCCUCUGCCCUUGACUCCUUGCCAGGCAUGGCUGGCUAGAAACACACCUCCAGAUGGAGCAGGCUAGGAAAGGGAACGCUGUGCUGGGUACCCAGCCUGAAAAAGCAGCUUCCCAGGAAAACAGACGCCCCCAUCCACCUGCCUCCAUGGACAAGUGUCAUCAGCUCCAGGGAUUCCGUCCCCCAGCCCGGGGAGCGUGAGGGAGGCCCAUGGCAAGGUAGGUGCCGCUGGCUUGGGAUGAGGAUGGCUGGCAGCCGGGACAGGGCUGGGAUUCAAAGCACAGCGGU
rnacentral:lncRNA from 1 species